rnacentral:rRNA from 1 species
GACGAACGCUGGCGGCGUGCCUAAUACAUGCAAGUCGAACGCUUCUUUCCUCUAGAGUGCUUACACUCAAUUGGAAAGAGGAGUGGCGGACGGGUGAGUAACACGUGGGUAACCUACCCAUCAGCGGGGGAUAACACUUGGUAACAGGUGCUAAUACCGCAUAACAGUAUAUGCCGCAUGGCAUAAGAGUGAAAGGCGCUUUCGGGUGUUGCUGAUGGAUGGACCCGCGGUUCAUUAGCUAGUUGGUGAGGUAACGGCUCACCAAGGCCACAAUACAUAGCCACCUUGAGGGGGUGAUCGGCCACAUGGGAACUGAGAAACGGCCCAGACCCCUAGGGGAGGCGGAGGAAGGGAAUUUUCGGAAAUGGACGAAGGUCUACCCGAGCAACGCCGCGUGAGUGAAGAAGGUUUUCGGAUCUUAAAACUCUGUUGUUAAAGAAGAACAAGGACGUUAGUAACUGAACGUCCCCUGACGGUAUCUAACCAGAAAGCCACGGCUAACUACGUG